AUUGAACGCUGGCGGCAGGCCUAACACAUGCAAGUCGAACGAGUGGCGGACGGGUGAGUAAUGUCUGGGAAACUGCCUGAUGGAGGGGGAUAACUACUGGAAACGGUAGCUAAUACCGCAUACCAUCGGAUGUGCCCAGAUGGGAUUAGCUAGUAGGUGGGGUAACGGCUCACCUAGGCGACGAUCCCUAGCUGGUCUGAGAGGAUGACCAGCCACACGGGAACUGAGAACCGGUCCCAACUCCUACGGGAGGCGUAGGUGGGAAAUAUUGGACAAUGGGCGCAGGCCGGAUGCGGCCAUGCCGGGUGUAUGAGGAAGGCCGUCGGGUUGUAAAGUACUUUCAGCGGGGAGGCGUUACCCGAAGAAGAAGCACCGGCUAACUCCGUGCCAGCAGCCGCGGUAAUAC
rnacentral:rRNA from 1 species